rnacentral:rRNA from 1 species
UACUAGAGUAGCACUCGCAUAUCAAUAAGCGGAGGAAAAGAAACUAACAAGGAUUCCCCUAGUAACGGCGAGUGAAGCGGGAAGAGCUCAAAUUUGAAAUCUUAAAGGGUUUCCCUUUACGAAUUGUAGUUUAAAGAAGUGUUUUCUGUUGAGGUUUUGGUAAAAGUUCUUUGGAAUAGGACAUCAUAGAGGGUGAGAAUCCCGUAUUUGACCUUUACUUUCAACUUUGUGAUACACUUUCAAAGAGUCGGAUUGUUUGGGAAUGCAGUCCAAAAUGGGUGGUAAAUUUCAUCUAAAGCUAAAUAUUGGCGAGAGACCGAUAGCGAACAAGUACCGUGAGGGAAAGAUGAAAAGAACUUUGAAAAGAGAGUUAAACAGUACGUGAAAUUGUCAAAAGGGAAGCGUUUGACACCAGUGUUGUUUUUCUGAAAAUCAAUUAAAGAACUGUUUAUGCUAAGUUGUUUAGACUUUAUCAGCUAACUGUUUAGUUUUGAGCUUUUCUUUAAUGCACUUUUCAGUUAACAAGUCAACAUCAAUUUCUUUUGCUGUAAAAAAGCUUGAGGAAGGUGGCUUGAGAUUCGUCUUAAGUGUUUAUAGCCUCUUGCCUAUGCAGUCGGAGAGAUUGAGGUCUGCAGCGUAGAUCCUUCGGGGCUAAAUGCAUUUGUGCUAAGUUAUAACAUUUUAUAGACAACUUGUUGACUAUGAUUUGUCUUGUAGCUUACUCGCUUAUGUUAUUUUACCUACGCUUAGGAUGUUGAGUAGCGACAUACGCAC